rnacentral:rRNA from 1 species
AGAGGGUGCGAGCGUUAAUCGGAAUUACUGGGCGUAAAGCGCACGUAGGUGGAUGAAUGUGUUGGCUGUGAAAGCCCCGGGCUUAACCUGGGAAGGCCAGCCAAAACUAUUUGUCUAGAGUACAGUAGAGGGAAGUGGAAUUUCCGGUGUAGCGGUGAAAUGCGUAGAUAUCGGAAGGAACACCAGUGGCGAAGGCGACUUCCUGGACUGAUACUGACACUGAGGUGCGAAAGCGUGGGGAGCAAACAGGGAUUAGAUACCCUGGUAGUCCACGCCGUAAACGAUGAGAACUAGCCCGUUGGAAAUUUAAUUUCUUGUGGCGCAGCUAACGCGAUAAGUUCUCCGCCUGGGGGAGUACGGCCGCAAGGUUA